CGCUGGGAUCGCGCCCUUGCUUCGCCAUCUGGGUCAUGGCCUUGCUUCUCCGUCGGGGUCUCGUGCUUGGUUCGCUGCCUGGGUUUCGCGCUUGGUUCACCGUCUGGGUUGCACGCUUGGUUCUCCGCCGGGGUCGGUCGCUUGGUUCUCCGCCGGGGUCGGUCGCUUGGUUCGCCGCCGGGGUCGUUCGCUUGGUUCGCCGCCGGGGUCGCACACUUGGUUCGCGGCCGUGGUCGUUUGCUUGGUUCACUGCCAGGGUCUUGCGCUUGGUUUGCCGCCGGGUCGCGCACUUGCUUCGCCUCUAGGUAGCGCUUGCUUCGCUGAUGGGUUGCGUCCUUGCUUUGCCGGGUUGCACCCUUGCUUCGCCGCUGGGUCGCGCCCUUGCUUCGCCG
rnacentral:lncRNA from 1 species